GCCUAACCGUAAACUUUUAAUUACAACAUGAACGCCAGAGAACUACGAGCAAAGCUUAAAACUCAAAGGACUUGACGGUACCCCACAUCCACCUAGAGGAGCCUGUCCUAUAAUCGAUAACCCCCGCUUCACCUCACCAUUUUUAGCUAAUCAGUCUGUAUACCUCCGUCGUCAGCUUACCACGUGAGCGAAUCAUAGUAAGCCUAAUGCCAACGCGCCAAUACGUCAGGUCAAGGUGCAACUAACAAAAUGUGGAAGAGAUGGGCUACACUCUCUAAUUUAGAAAACACAAAAAACUUUAUGAAAUCUAGUUAGAAGGCGGAUUUAGCAGUAAAAAGAAACUAGAGAGUUCUUUUUAAUACGGCACUGGGGUGUGUACACACCGCCCGUCACCCUCUUCAAGACCCUAACUUCAUAGUAUCUAACUAACUUCAUACUUUAAGAAGAGGUAAGUCGUAACAUGGUAAGUAUACCGGAAGGUGUGCUUGGAAA
rnacentral:rRNA from 1 species